AGAAGUCGUAACAAGGUUCCGUAGGUGAACCUGCGGAAGGAUCAUUGU
rnacentral:rRNA from 1 species